GCACAUUUGGAGAGGAAGCUGCGGAAAAAUCAAGUGGCGGACACUGAUAACGGGGUGGGCUCCAGAAGAAAUUUGGUAAGUUCUGCCAUACUUAGAGAGGGUCUCUUUUUCUAGUUUUCUACUUUUCCAGGGCCACAUAUCCGACUGUGAGAGUUGAGGUCCUUGGACCCUGAUUCUAAUACCAUGUGUGUGCUAGUAUAGGAGCCACAAAGCAGG
rnacentral:misc_RNA from 1 species